GUUUUUGUAGUUGAAUUACAACGGUGGUUUUUCAGAUCACAGGUCUUAGAUUAUAGCUGGGCAAAAAUA
rnacentral:tRNA from 1 species